rnacentral:lncRNA from 10 species
GUCAUGUAGUGGAAUAGAGCUGUACCUGGCUUCAGGCGAGACUUGGCAACUCCAAAAUGGAAGUACUAUUGUUAUCUCCGUUUACAAAUUAGGAAACUGAGGCACAGAUAUGCUCUUGGGUACUUGUCAGCAGCAGUUGUUCUACAAGUUAAAUAUCUGGAUAUCUUAAAUCUCAGAUGAGCGUCUUAGCCUCUGGAUUACUGCUCAAUGAGGAAAGCUAUGAAAUGCAUGGAUAACUUGCUAAUCAGUAUUUGCCAUAUGUGCUAGCAGCAUCAGCAUCAGUUGGGAGAUUAUGGUGGCCUCCAUGUCAGACCUCCUAAAUCGGAAUAUCAGAGAAGGUGGCCCAGGUUACCAUGCUUCAUCUGCCAAUGCAUUGAAAACUUGGAAUGUAAAUUAAUUCAACCAUUGUGGAAGAUGGUGUAGUGAUUCCUCAAAGACCUAGAAGCAGAAAUAUCAUUUGAUCCAGAAAUCCCAUUACUGUGUAUACACCCAAAGGAAUAUAAACCAUUCUAUUACAAAGAUACAUGCGUGCGUAUGUUCAUUGCAGCAUUAUUCACAAUAGUAAAGACAUAGAGUCAACCCAAAUGCCCAUCAAAGACAAACAAUAUGUGGUACAUAUACACCAUGGAAUACCAUGCACCCAUAAAAAGGAACAAGAUCACAUUUUUUGUAGGGACAUGGAUGGAGCUGGAAGGCAUUGUCCUCAGCAAAAUAACAUAGGAACAGAAAACCAAACACCCCAUGUCCUCACUUAUAAGUGGGAGGUAAACAAUGAGAACACAUGGACACAGGGAGAGGAACAACACACAUUGGGGCCUGUUGGAGGGUGGGGUGGGGGAGAGAGAGCAUUAGGAAAAGUAGCUAACUCAUGCUGGGCUCAAUGCGUAGGUGAUGGGUUGAUAGGUGCAGCAAACCACCAUGGCACAUGGUUACCUAUGUAACAAGCCUGCACAUCCUGCACAUGUACCCCAGAACUUAAAAUAAAAAUAAAAAUUUAAAAAAACUC